UGCCCAAUGGCUGAGAUCAGCUUCAGAGGCUUUUCUUGGGAGACCCAACCAUCUAAGGCAGGGGUUUUCAACUCUGGGGCCUCAGAUGUUGUUGGACCACAGCUCCCAUCAUCCUCAGCCAAAGGCCAUUGUGGCUGGGGAUAAUGGGACUUGCUGUCCAAUAACAUCUGGGGACCCAAGGCUAGGAACCCAUAAUCUAAAGUAAGGGUGGGGGUUGCUGGAGAGCGGGUCUUCUGGGUCAUCGUGCUCAGUUUGCAGCCUUUCCUCCCCAAGGUGGCUCACCUGGCACCUAGAGUGGUAUCCUUCUGGCACUAUGUGAAGACUUUUUUCUUCUCUCAGGCAUUUUGUUCUCUUUCAAAUUUCGGUUUUAAAUUGAUUUGUUUGCUUUUAACAGCUGUUUUGAUUGUUUGGGUUGCAUUUUUACUUAUCACUGUAUUGUUCUAUUAUGUUUUUUAAAAAUUUUAAAUGGAAAUUUAAAUGAAGAGUGGUAUAAUUAUUUUAAAAUGAAUAAAUAAAAAUAAUAUUCAUCACUAGAAUAAUCCAAGAGGAACAGCUUACAUACGAAAAGCUCUACUGGAUCAGUUCCAUGGCCUAUCGAAUGCAGCAUCCUGUUGCACACAGUGGCUCAUCAGAUGCUUCUGAUGCUCAUAGGCAAGAGGUGAGGGCAUGCCCUCUCUCCUGCUGUUGCUCUUCUGCAACUGGUAUUUAGAGGCAUCUUGCCUCUGAGGCUGGAGGUGUCCUAUAGCCACCAGACUAGUAGCCAUUUGAUAGACCUGUCCUCCGUGAACUUGUCUAAGCCCCUUUUAAAGCCAUCCAAGCUAUCACUGCAUCCCGUGGCAGAGAAUUCCAUAUACUAAUUAUUCAAUAGAGUUGUCCAUAGAUUUAUCUGUGCAUGCUGUUUCUGGGUUAACAUUUGUUCCUUGCAGGGGGGUUGCAGUCGAAUCCUAAAUUUAAAAGUAAGCCCCACUGAGUGUAAUGGGACUUUAUUCCUAAUAUGUAUACUUGAUAUUGCAGUCUUAAGCUUCACUUGGCUCACAGGGGAACAAGUGCCCACAUAUCUCUUGGUCUUUUUCACAGAAUUCUUCCAUGGGAUUUGUUCCUUGCAAACGUGCUCUGUCCAAAGGGUGAACAAAACAAUAAGCCCCUCCCACCUCUUUACAACCAGGGUGGAGUUAAGGAGACACAAAAAGCAGCUGCUAGGCUGAGUCAGCCGAGUGAGCCAGCCUUCUGUCAUGUUGCAUUUCCUUUUCUCUCAACAUCUUGUACUGCCAACUGUUUAUCUUUUGCUGUUUAUGGGGAACUAAAUUCCACCCAUUCAUUUCCUUAUAAUUAAUAUGAUUUUCAGACCCAUCUUGCACUCACCCUGAUGUUUAUGCGGAUGGGGUUGCAUUGCGAGCAGCAAGCCCCAUCUGGAGGAACUGUAUUAGUCAUAGGCAGUUGGUGCUUUUCUGAGGAGAGAUAAUGAGGUCCUCCUUGGCUCUAAUCAUUGUUUGUGGAACUUGCAAAAAUAAAUGGUGCAGCGCAGAAUACAGUGUGAUCCAACCACCACAGGCCUGGUCAUUUGUGAGUCUGCAAGGCUUCUGCAGAGAAGUUGAGUAGAUCUUUCAGUGCAGAUUGGACUGCGGCAUAUGAUCAGGUGGCAACAAAUCAAAGUCCUUCAAGGUUACCGCAUGUGUAUGCCAAAGUCAGAAGUGGAAUUAUUUGAAUGAGCUUGAAGAAAAAUGGAAUGAAACACACUGCAUGAACCCAUGGAGUCGCCCUGACUGCAGUUCGGCUUCUGUCUGUUUUGUCCGAAUGUGGACAGGCAUAUGGAGUACAAAGCAGAGGUCAAAUAUGGGGAUGAAAGGCAUUUGACACUAUGACAGCCACUCUGGGGAGCAGAAAUAAUCUCGACUCCCCCCUGCCCCAGGAGCCACCUGUCAACCGUGACCUCUUUCCUUCAGAGGUGAAAAAAACCUAAAAGAUGAAAGAGAAAUGUCACCCAGGAGAUAAUAUCAUUCACACUGGGAAUAAAACAUGACACAUCCCCCUCUCUGAAGGCAGGGCCCUUUGCAUAAGGGGCACAGGGAUGAAAUAGAAACGUUGAGAGCUCUGAAAGUUCACCAUGAUGAAGGAACACGCACCAGCCGCCACUCAAAUCAAGAUCUUGCCAGGGAGGACUAGCUGCUGCUGAGCAACUCAGUGCCGAACUGCACAAUACAACGUGGCGAAUAUGACAGGCUAUAGUCCAAAUGCAACCCACAAUCUCAUAUGACUUAAUGUUCCAUCGGAUAAAGGCAGGACUUGUUCAAAUUCUGAACACAACUUAUCUAACUGGUCCAGAGAGUUUAAGAAAUCCUUAUUCUACUUUGUACUUUAUUCAGAGCUGAGCAAUUCUGCUUCCGUUCCUCCAACAUUAUCAUGGAUGCCCUUGUGCAGGGGUUGUCAACUUUGGGUCCCCAAAUGUUGUUAGAUUACAACUCCCAUCAUGCCUAGCUACAACAGUAAAAAACCAUUGGAAUUUGCACACUCUGCUGCUGUGCUCUUCCUACUAUCUUCUGAGCAACUGGGGCUUUUUAGAACUAUUUGGGUUUCUUUUAACACAUAGAAUCUGGUACCUUUUGUAUAGUUACUGGCAGAAUUCAGCUAUUCCUGACAGAGCCAAGACAUGGUUGUCUUUCCAAGUCCUAACUCAAAAAGAUGUCCCUUCUUGAUAAUAUAAUCCAGUUCUUCUUCCAGACAGGAGGGGAAGUCUUUCUACCAGUGGCACUCUUACUCCUGGACAUUGGGGCCAAGGUCCAUGGCCACCACACCCCCUGGGGUGGCCUCUUUAAUCCUCUUUA